UAGACAGCCCUGGAAUCUGGAGUCCUAUCUUUAUCCACAGAAUAGGUUCAACAUAGGCAGUGGUAGUACAGGUUUCUAUACAGUGCGCCACUAACAUGUCUUAGUUGUGACAUAGGGAGCGCACCUCUGACAGUUAAAGAACCAUUCAAUCCCCAUGACUAGGACUUUACCAAAUUCAU
ensembl:misc_RNA